rnacentral:sRNA from 1 species
UGAAUCAAAAAAGGAGCAACAUCCUAAUC